AAGUCGUAACAAGGUUUCCGUAGGUGAACCUGCGGAAGGAUCAUUAUCGUACAAAAUGUGAGAGGGGUGCAUGCUUGGGCUGUUGCUGGCUCAAAGUAGCCGUGCACGCCUGGGUGUGUCCCCUCGCACAACAAUCCAUCUCACCCUUUUGUGCAUCACCGCGUGGGCUCCCUUCUCGGAGGGGGCUCGCGUUUUCACACAAACCCCCCUUUUAAAAGUGUAGAAUGACCUCAUGUAUGCGUUAACCCGCAAUCAAUACAACUUUCAACAACGGAUCUCUUGGCUCUC
rnacentral:misc_RNA from 1 species